rnacentral:rRNA from 1 species
UACGGAGGGUGCGAGCGUUAAUCGGAAUAACUGGGCGUAAAGGGCACGCAGGCGGGUAUUUAAGUGAGGUGUGAAAUCCUCGGGCUUAACCUGGUAAUAGCAUUUCAGACUGGGAGUCUAGAGUACUUUAGGGAGGGGUAGAAUUCCACGUGUAGCGGUGAAAUGCGUAGAGAUGUGGAGGAAUACCGAUGGCGAAGGCAGCCCGUUGGGCAUGUACUGACGCUCAGGUGCGAAAGCGUGGGGAGCAAACGGG